GUCGAGCGAACAGAUAAGGAGCUUGCUCCUUUGACGUUAGCGGCGGACGGGUGAGUAACACGUGGGUAACCUACCUAUAAGACUGGGAUAACUUCGGGAAACCGGAGCUAAUACCGGAUAACAUUUGGAACCGCAUGGUUCUAAAGUGAAAGAUGGUUUUGCUAUCACUUAUAGAUGGACCCGCGCCGUAUUAGCUAGUUGGUAAGGUAACGGCUUACCAAGGCGACGAUACGUAGCCGACCUGAGAGGGUGAUCGGCCACACUGGAACUGAGACACGGUCCAGACUCCUACGGGAGGCAGCAGUAGGGAAUCUUCCGCAAUGGGCGAAAGCCUGACGGAGCAACGCCGCGUGAGUGAUGAAGGGUUUCGGCUCGUAAAACUCUGUUAUUAGGGAAGAACAAAUGUGUAAGUAACUGUGCACGUCUUGACGGUACCUAAUCAGAAAGCCACGGCUAACUACGUGCCAGCAGCCGCGGUAAUACGUAGGUGGCAAGCGUUAUCCGGAAUUAUUGGGCGUAAAGCGCGCGUAGGCGGUUUCUUAAGUCUGAUGUGAAAGCCCACGGCUCAACCGUGGAGGGUCAUUGGAAACUGGGAAACUUGAGUGCAGAAGAGGAAAGUGGAAUUCCAUGUGUAGCGGUGAAAUGCGCAGAGAUAUGGAGGAACACCAGUGGCGAAGGCGACUUUCUGGUCUGUAACUGACGCUGAUGUGCGAAAGCGUGGGGAUCAAACAGGAUUAGAUACCCUGGUAGUCCACGCCGUAAACGAUGAGUGCUAAGUGUUAGGGGGUUUCCGCCCCUUAGUGCUGCAGCUAACGCAUUAAGCACUCCGCCUGGGGAGUACGACCGCAAGGUUGAAACUCAAAGGAAUUGACGGGGACCCGCACAAGCGGUGGAGCAUGUGGUUUAAUUCGAAGCAACGCGAAGAACCUUACCAAAUCUUGACAUCCUUUGAAAACUCUAGAGAUAGAGCCUUCCCCUUCGGGGGACAAAGUGACAGGUGGUGCAUGGUUGUCGUCAGCUCGUGUCCUGAGAUGUUGGGUUAAGUCCCGCAACGAGCGCAACCCUUAAGCUUAGUUGCCAUCAUUAAGUUGGGCACUCUAGGUUGACUGCCGGUGACAAACCGGAAGAAGGUGGGGAUGACGUCAAAUCAUCAUGCCCCUUAUGAUUUGGGCUACACACGGGCUACAAUGGACAAUACAAAGGGCAGCUAAAC
rnacentral:rRNA from 1 species